rnacentral:piRNA from 1 species
UGCGAACUGUGUUAUGCUGAGGCU